AUUGAACGCUGGCGGCAUGCUUUACACAUGCCAGUCGAACGGCAGCGCGGGCUUCGGCCUGGCGGCGAGUGGCGAACGUGUGAGUAAUGCAUCGGAACGUGCCCAGUAGUGGGGGAUAGCCCGGCGAAAGCCGGAUUAAUACCGCAUACGACCUGAGGGUGAAAGCGGGGGACCGAAAGGCCUCGCGCUAUUGGAGCGGCCGAUGUCGGAUUAGCUAGUUGGUGGGGUAAAGGCUUACCAAGGCGACGAUCCGUAGCUGGUCUGAGAGGACGACCAGCCACACUGGGACUGAGACACGGCCCAGACUCCUACGGGAGGCAGCAGUGGGGAAUUUUGGACAAUGGGGGCAACCCUGAUCCAGCCAUGCCGCGUGCGGGAAGAAGGCCUUCGGGUUGUAAACCGCUUUUGUUCGGGAAGAAAUCCUCUGGGCUAAUACCCCGGGGGGAUGACGGUACCGGAAGAAUAAGCACCGGCUAACUACGUG
rnacentral:rRNA from 1 species